ACCACUUUCUAUCAGGUGGGACGUCAGCUUGAUCGCCAUUCUAAGUUGCAUAAAAAAACACAUUGAAUGACCAAUUAAUUUAAUAUAUACGGAACAUCAGUAUUAUACAUAAGUACUCACAAUAAUGACUUUCGCUUCGGUUACGUGGCGGUUGUUUUACCGCGUAGUUUAGAUAACAGAUACAAAACAGUAUAAAUACGGUUUACAUGUAUUAUAAGUAUAAUCAUAUUAACGAUGAAGUUCGUAUUCGCAAUUAUACUUCUGAUGGCGAUAUUUAUAUGGAAUGAAGCGACCGCAGUUUGCACCACCCAGUGGGACCCUGUUUGUGGUAAAGAUGGCAAGACGUACAGCAAUCUUUGCUGGUUAAACGAGGCUGGCGUCGGGUUGGAUCAUGAAGGUGAAUGCUGAUUUACAUCAAAAUAUGUUUGAGUACACAUAUAAACUGAAAUGAUUUUAAAAUAAAAAAAAAUGUUCUAUU